UGCAGUCGGGAGCCCAAACUCCCCUCCCUCCAGGAGGGACCGCGAAAGGGCAAGGAGCUGGCCCAGAUUCUGCUCACAGAUCAGAGGAAACAAAGCUCGCUGGACAAAGGAUGGAGCCAGCUGAGACCUGUCCCUGUCCCGCCAGAAGGGUCCGCAGUUCGGGGGAUCGGGCUGCUCCUCCCACCCAGGGCAUCGCUGACUACGAUUUCUGCGCUCGGCAGUUAAGGCUGCACCGCCCGACCUCGGCUAACCUUGCACACCUCCUCGCCCCACAACCUUACCCCCCACCCUGCCACGCCCGCGCGGCCCCGACGCGAUCCAGGCACGCCCAGGCUUUGGGGAGCUUCUGCAGCCCGCCCGGACGGGGCGGGGAGAACUUGGUGGUUCUGGGAUGCUGCUUCCUUCCCUCCUCGACCCCUCCGCGUAAGCCGGACAGGGGAACCCAGCCUUUCACCGCCCGGAAAAGUGGGAGUCCCCAAGGCGGAGACACAGGAGCUGCAGCCUCCCUCCCUGGCCCGACAUUCUUGAGCAGGAUGGACACAGCUGACUCAGAGCUGGCACAUACCGCUGAGUUCUGCCAGAAACAAGGGCUGGGCCCAGCCCUGCUCAGAGAAACCUGGCGGCUGCUCUGACCUGUGGGUCAGCCCUCACUCCAGUCCUCUCCUCUCCUCCCCGGCUGCCUGCCCCUCCUCUCUCGCACAAGCUGGGAGGUACUCUGCUUGUUUCUGCUGGGCGCAUGCCUGCGCGGAAGGACUGCGCAUCUGUAUAUGGAGGGGCCAGGGGAGGCACAGCAAGAGGCUUCGUACUCAACCACAAAGUUGCUGGAUCCUGCCCGCCUGCCCUCAAUUCCAGGGCCCUCUGUGGGCCCAGCCCUGGCCAGGUGCCUAAAUCACCCUCCUCACAGACCAGUUCUCAGAUGCCUCUGCAAGAUGCCCUGAGAUCCUGUGACUCACAGGGCUCCGCGUCGGGCUUAGUUUGGGUGUGCAAAGGGCCCACACAUGCCCAAAGACUAGUUCUGCAACAGUGGAGUGUCAGGCGUCUCACCAACCCUACACAGCCAUCCCUAGUCUCCAGUGGUGCUUCUGGGAUGCCUGGAGACAGGGGAGAGAGGCAUAGUGUUACUGCCACACCUGCCUCAAGUCACUAUCCAUGGCCCCUCCACCACCACCCUCUCUGGACGCCUGUGGAGGGGGGAUUAUCAACUCAAGAAUGCCAACUUUCAGGAUGCUCAGGCUCCAGGUGUGCCUCAGGGCUGGGCCUGCCUAACCCCUCCCCCAUGAAACUCAAACCUACACAAGCCCGGGUAGGUGAGGUGGGUCGGGUUUCUUCUGCCCCCUCCCUGUCUUUAGCGCCCCUGUCCCCAGCAAGACACCGGGAUGAAGGGGCUGCUUAAAUCUUGACUCUGCACUUUCCUGUGAGACUUUGAACAAGUCACUUCGCCUCUCUGGAGCCCUGUAAUCGGGAGCUAUAAUCAUCCUUGGAAUUGGCUGAAAUAAUGGAUGUCAAGUACAGGGAACAAAUAAGUACCCUCUAGAAGAACACGAGCUGGAAUCCCAUCUUCCCACAGCCAUGCCCUGUCUGGGCUCCUCGACAGAUCCUGGUGGCCACAGAGCCCAGCAAGAAGCUCUUGGUCUAAGGCCACGCCCCUGCUGCCUUCAAGGGCUGGAAAACGCCAUCUGGGUUUCCUCCAAAGGGUCCUGUUCCCAAGUCCAGACGCGUCAGGAGGAAAGGUGAAGGGUGUCCAAUCAAGGGAGCAGCUAUGGCGAAGCGGGGGUCCCCCGGUCACCCAGGGUCAGGUCCUCAGGCCCUGACCGUGCAGGGAUCCAGAAUGCCAUGAUGGACCACAAGGUUGCAGUGCCUGUCAGUAGUCCCAGGACAGUAUAGGAUUAUUUGGGGCUACUUUUCCCAUACUUAUCUUUGUGGGAUUUCAGUGUAUAUUCAUUUGUGAAUGUAACUUGUUUGUUUCCCUGCAGGCUAAUCCCUAUGCUCACCUCCACCCCAUAGGCAGAGUGUAGUGCUUGGUGCGGGGGGAACAGUCAGGAGAAUUGUCCUCAGACCCUUAGCUGAGGGAGGAGGUGCAGGCAGACCCACCCGAGGGAGGAGGCAUGCUUAAGGAGUGUGUGAACUGAAGAAGACACUGAAACCUCCAUUCGAAAACCGUUCUGCUAUUUCACUUAUACACCACAAGUAUUUAUUGAGCAGCUACUGUGUACCGGGCACUGUUCUAGAGCCUUGGGAAUCAUCAGUGAACAAAACACACCAAAAAUCCUACCCUCCUGGAGCUUAAAUAGUAAGAGAAAGAAAAGACAACUAUCAUGAACAUAAGAAGUGAAUUGUGUAGUAUAUUAGAAGGUGAUAAGGAAAUGGAAAAAAGUAGGAUAAGAGAGUUCAGGAAUGGGACAGAGUUAAACUUUAAAAGUAGGGUAAUCAAACUGGAUUUUAUGGGGAAGGUGACAUGUGAACAAAGACUGGGGAGUGACCCAUUUAGAGAUUUCUAGGGCAAAGGAUUCCAGGCACAGGGAGCAGGCAGUUCCAAGACCCUGAGGCAGGAGCGGGUCCACUAAGCCAGAGGAAGAGCAAGGAGGCCAGGGUGGCUGGGCCUUAGAGAGCGAGGGGGAGUGGUAAUGGGAGAAGACUGGGAGGUAACAGGGACCAGAUUCCUGUGGGGCCUUACAGGGGCUUCCACUUUCACUCUGGGAGAAAUGGGGAGCGUUUGGAAAGCUUCAGGCUGAGGAGGGAGAUGAUCCGACUCAUGAUUUAGCAAAACCCUCUGGCCAGUGGAAGAAGUUGCCAUGGAGGGACAGGGCCGAAGCAGGGAGCCCAGGGAGGAGACUCUUGAGAUAAAUAAUUGAGGCAGGAGUGGAUGGUGGCUCAGACCUCAGUGCUAAGAUUGGAGGUCGGGAAGAGUGGGAGGACUCCACAUCCUUUCUGAAGGUAGAGCCCACAGGACUUACUGGCAGGGGCUGCGAGAAGAGAGGAGUCAAGGAGGGCUCCAAAUCUGAGGCCUACACACCUGGAAGGACAAAGCACCCAUGAACUGAAACGGGGAAGGUGAGGAGGUGCCAGCUCUCUGUUUUGGACACAUUAAGUUUGAGGUCCCUCCAGACAUCCAAGGUAAGAUGUCAAGCACACGAUGGCUGUACAGGUCUGGAGUUUAGGAGGGAGAUGUGAACAGGCUGCUCAUAAUGGCACUAUUUAUAGUAGAAAAAAAGAAAAAAGUAGUCCUCCAUGAGUUGCUAUAGAAUGUAAUAAGUGAAAAAAGCAAACAGCAGGACAGUGUCAAUGUAUAACAUGAUUUCAUUUGUGUUUUUUAAAAAUUAAAACAAUGGUGUUAUAGA